rnacentral:lncRNA from 1 species
GAAAGAAAUAUACCCCAAAUUUCGGGUCAAUACCCAGCGAUCUCUCCUGGGCGAGGAGAGAUCCCGCACGGCGAGGGGGGGGGGGGGGGAGGGGGGGGGAGUGGGGCCCCCCACCUCCGCAGGUUUUUUUUUUUUUUUUUUUUUUUUUUUUUUUCCGUUCAAGGGAAGAGUGACGAUAACAACAACAACAAAGCCCCUCUCCGUCGCACCGCUCUCUCUUCCCCAGCCUUUCCCCAACCCCUCGAAGCCGUCGGGGGCCGCUCGGAGGGUUGUUCCCGGGCGGAUAACGCAGCGAGCACCGGUGAUGCCGCCGGUAGAGGAGGGCCAGGAGGCAGCACAUGAGCCGGGACGAAGGAGCAGCCGGAAAAUCCGCAUCCCCGCCUCCAAGGAUUUCCUACCGCGAGGAGGAGGAGAAGAGGCGAAAAGAAGGAGGAAGCGAGACUUUUACUGGGGGAGGGAGCUCGGGGAGUGAGCGGGAGCCCGUGUGCCUGCCUCCUGCCCUACACGCGAGUGAAAGUCCCACUGUGGUGAUGGGAGCUGCGCUGGUGGGAUAUUUCUCUGCGAAGAAGGAAAAGAUCCUCCUCUUCCCUACCCCGGAGAAGUGCUGUUCCAUGGGACGGGGUCUCCCCGGGGUCUAACGCAGAGCUAUGAAGCGGGGACAGAGGCAGAGCGAGCUCCUUCAGGCAGGGCUGGGAUCUGAGCUCGCACAAAUCGCUCCCCAGUGGACUCGUCCCAGGUUCCUGCCCUUCCCCGUCCCUUCGCUCGGCUCCGAGAGGGAAGAACCGGAGCUGGGAGCCCGUCGGCGAUGAGCCACAUCUACAGCAGCCACCUCUCCCCCAUGGGCAGCCCCUCCAUGGUGUAUCUCCCGGCCGCCUUGAGCUUCUCCCCCAGCGGUGCCAUCUCCCGCCAGGACCCCCCGCAGAAGCCCCCUUACAGCUACAUCGCCCUCAUCGCCAUGGCCAUCAAAGAAGCUCCGGAGCAGAAGGUGACCCUCAGCGGCAUCUACCAGUUCAUCAUGGACCGUUU